rnacentral:lncRNA from 1 species
GAUGAAUUUACAUAUUGGGCAACAGACUGUGGCAAUUAUGCAGGGGCACUUAUGUACUUCUGCUCAUUCUAUGUCAUCAUCGCCUACAUCAUGCUGAAUCUACUUGUAGGUAAGAGAUGUUCAUGGAAUUAUUUUUCCAUCUCUUCAAACUCAGGUACUUGGAUAAUUAUGUACAAUUUUCGAGUAAUUAUCCUGGAUUGCUUGGGGCGGGUGUUUCAUGGCAUUAAUUAUAAAUUGUUGCCUCUCAACCCAGGAGCUGAAAAGACCUUUGAAAGGCAUGGAAAUGGCAGUUGAUUGCAGUUUAAAGAAUUGUCCUAUUUAUUAUGCUCAUUAAUUCCCAAAGAGCUCUUCCCAUGG